GCGGUACGUGAGCUGGGUUCAGAACGUCGUGAGACAGUUCGGUCCCUAUCCUAUGUGGGCGCAGGAUGAUUGAGGAGAUUUGCUCUCAGUACGAGAGGACCGGAGUGAACGAACCUCUAGUGUACCAGUUGUCGCGCCAGCGGCAUGGCUGGGUAGCUACGUUCGGAAGGGAUAAGCGCUGAAAGCAUCUAAGCACGAAGCCCACUCCAAGAUGAGUCAUCCCGUCAUAAGACCUAAAGACUCCUGGAAGACGACCAGGUGAUAGGCAGCAGGUGUACGCACAGCAAUGUGUUUAGCUGAGCUGUACUAAUAAGUCGUGAGACUUCCCAUU
rnacentral:rRNA from 1 species